rnacentral:rRNA from 1 species
CCUACGGGAGGCAGCAGUAGGGAAUAUUGCUCAAUGGGGGAAACCCUGAAGCAGCAACGCCGCGUGGAGGAUGAAGGUUUUCGGAUUGUAAACUCCUUUUGUUAGAGAAGAUAAUGACGGUAUCUAACGAAUAAGCACCGGCUAACUCCGUGCCAGCAGCCGCGGUAAUACGGAGGGUGCAAGCGUUACUCGGAAUCACUGGGCGUAAAGAGCGCGUAGGCGGGAUAGCAAGUCAGAUGUGAAAUCCUAUGGCUUAACCAUAGAACUGCAUUUGAAACUGGUAUUCUAGAGUAUGGGAGAGGUAGGUGGAAUUCUUGGUGUAGGGGUGAAAUGCGUAGAGAUCAAGAGGAAUACUCAUUGCGAAGGCGGCCUGCUAGAACAUAACUGACGCUGAGGCGCGAAAGCGUGGGGAGCAAACAGGAUUAGAUACCCGGGUAGUC